rnacentral:rRNA from 1 species
CCUACGGGUGGCAGCAGUGAGGAAUAUUGGUCAAUGGGCGCGAGCCUGAACCAGCCAAGUCGCGUGAGGGAAGACGGUCCUAUGGAUUGUAAACCUCUUUUGUCGGGGCGCAAAAGACGCCACGCGUGGCGUUCCGAGAGUACCCGAAGAAAAAGCAUCGGCUAACUCCGUGCCAGCAGCCGAGGUAAUACGGAGGAUGCGAGCGUUAUCCGGAUUUAUUGGGUUUAAAGGGUGCGCAGGCGGAAGCUCACGUCAGCGGGAAAAUUGAGAGGCUCAACCUCUUCGAGCCGUUGAAACUGGUUGUCGUGAGUGAGUGAGAGGUAUGCGGAAUGCGUGGUGUAGCGGUGAAAUGCAUAGAUAUCACGCAGAACUCCGAUUGCGAAGGCAGCAUACCGGCGCUCAACUGACGCUCAUGCACGAAAGUGUGGGUAUCGAACAGGAUUAGGUACCCCUGUAGUC